AGAAAAAGAAGAAGAAGAAAUGGCGAGCGCUCCUCCGCCGUCGUCCAAAGUGGAUGCGGUGAAGCAGAUUCGCAGCCACGAGGUUGCAAUUGCAGAGCUCAAUGCUCUUUCACCGUCCCGGACAGUGUAUCAGAAGAAUGGGAACUUACUUUUCCGUACGACAAUCCAGAAAGCAUUGGCAUCUGAACAGAAACAACUAGAUUUGGCUAAAGCAAUCCUUGGAAAGUUGAAUACUUCUUGAUACGGCUUGAACUACAUUGAUGCUUAUGCAGCCUUCUAAGGAUACAUAGCGGGUGCAUUUCUUGUUGCAUAGAAUCCUGGUUUCUGAGAGUUGUGGAGACAUUUGCUUUCUAUUCUUUUCUCUAAGGCGCCUAGGCUGGAAAGCUCAUAAAGAUAAUUUGUAUGCUUUUCAUCCCAAUUAUACAUUACAAAGGAAUUAAAUUAUAAGAAUGUUUCUGAAUUC